rnacentral:lncRNA from 1 species
UGAUAAUGUAUUUACUUAUGCUGAUAAGCCUAUGAUUUGCCCCAUUUACAGAUAAGAAAAUGGAAGCAAAAAGAAGUUGAGCUAUUUUCCUACACCGGAAGUAAAGAGUAACUGGGUUUUAAGGUCAAGGGAAGACAUAGAAAAUGAAGGAUCACAGGCACAAGGCUUGCAACCUCAUAGGGGAAAAUGGGAGAAGAUACUAGGGGAAGAAUUUGGCUGGCACCAGAUUGGCAUAGUUACUUUGAAAAGUUGAAGGCACUGCAUAGAGCACACUAGGAUAUUCCUUUCCCUUGACCAGGACAUCAGGCUGUGCAAAGC